rnacentral:lncRNA from 1 species
AUUGAGUAACUCUUGGGUAAACUAUUAAACUAAUAAGAGCUGUAUCGUCUAACUUCAUUCAAAAAUGAAACUUGAAUUUUUAUAGAAUCAAAAUAGAAAUGAUUUUAGAAUUUGAUCAUUUCUUAGAUUCUGCUGAAGGCAGGUUAGUGUUCAGUGACAAUUCACGCUAACAUUACAUGAGAUGCGGCCGGGAGCGAGCCGGAUUUCGAAAUGAAAGUGAAAGAGUAAGCAAAAAAAUGUGAGCUCGCCGAGAUCGACAGGAAAGACAACUAAAACUCAAACUGCAGGAAAGAGAGAAAGAGGGGGAACUAGCGAAGGGACGAAAGCCCGACGAAGGCCUAUGCUACAGUAAGCAAAAAAGUAGGUUGAGGUCAAUUUGUAGUCAAUAUGUUUUAUACAAAAAGGAACCCAUGCAACGAUAGGAAAUCCUUUUUUUAGAGAGCCAAUGCCAGUCGUUUCGUUUAGUACGAGAUCGCUUCACACCUCGCGGUGCUUACCCCCCGUUUUUUGGUUCCCAUUGGGUUUACCUUGUUCACAGGUCGACCCCAGCUUGGGUGAAACUAAGUGGAGGUCCGACCGACUGAUGUUGAAGAAUCAGCGGGAGGUAGAUUCAUAGGUGUCUAUUUCACUGAAGAAUUGAUAAAAGCGCGUUCAGUACGGUAAACUCGGCCAAAAUAUGAGACCCGAAGGGCCCGGGCCAUCCUGGACUUGAACCAGAGACCUCGCCCGUGAAGUUCGAAGGAGGAAGCCAUGAAUGGAGGCACUCCCAAUCCACUUGUUGCUCGCUUGCUUUCGCUCCUCUCCUUAGCUUCGACGAGCUGGGACAUGGAAGUGAAAACCCUAAACUUGAAACCCUACCCUUCUUUGCUACUCACUAUCUAAGGAGCAAAUCCGAAGUCGGUUCUCAAGGCCCAGAAGCUCGGGGAUUGAAUACCCCUAUGUUCGCCUAAAGCAGAGGUUCUGAAAGACCUUGCUUGAUCCGUCUUCGGCUUCGCAGCCUUUUGUUUUGGGACAAUGGGUGCACGGAGAAUCGUCAAAUCUGACGGUAUGGUUGACCACAUUCCUGUUUUCAACCUCGGUAGGUCUUCGGUUCUGCUUAUCGAUCCGCUUCGACUUCACGCGAGCCGCUAAAUUUAGUUCGAGUUUAGGUGAAGGAAGUAUGACCGCCUUACCAAUAGUUGAAACUCAAUCGGGAGAUGGAUGGAAGUGUCCGAUUAUAGCACGACGCGCUGCUUCAAUGGCUCCGAUGCUUCUUCGGCCAAAUACGAUAUACAAGUGGGACCUGCACUAUGAGCAAGCUGUGCGAAAAACCGCCUUUUAGUUUAAUGUUUCUAUUCAGCGGAUGUGGUUAUUGGCAAGAACUCGACCAGAGAGGCUACUCGGGCAUAGGUGAAGGAACGAGAGCCUGUAUACAUAGGGAAAGUCGUGUGCAAUGAAAAGUGCAAGCACGGCUUGGGGAGGGAUCUUUACUUGUUUAGGAGAAAGUUGACUUUGAGAAAGAAAAGGGGCGCCCUAGCUGCUCGCCGGAGAAAGCCAGGUGCCUUAGGUAAGCUCUAUUUGGCCCGACGAAUUUCUUCGCUUCGAUUCCGCCCCUACCUAAGGCUAGCUCCUACUCCUCCUCCUGAUCUUUGCUUGCGGCAUCUCUAACUAUUCGGUUAGCGUCACGGAAGUUGCUGGCCGGCGGCCGCUCAACUGUUCGAGCGCAAUGCAGUGGUGUUGGUUCCCCAAUGACCAAUCCUCGCAUGAAUUGCUAAGGAUCCAAUAAGUCCAACAUUGAUUCCUUCAGAUGUGUCAAUUGGGCAAAUACGUCCAUAGUGACUAGGAUGGAUAUCUCGUAUCCGAAAACUAGCAGCCUUAAAACAAAAUAAAAAAUCAGAAAAAUGAUUCAUUCCCCUUUCUAAGAGGAGUAGGAUCUUUGGUUGAUCUGUCCUUCCCCCGCUCUAAAGUCUGUAUCUUGCCCCUAGUUACAACAUCGUAUUCGACUUCUAUCGCGGAGUCAACUGGCACCUUCUUAAAGCGCCUGCCCGGCUUUCAGGUCACUUGUGAAGGGAACAAAGCUUAGGGCGGGGACAAAGCUGGGGAUGGCAAGGUUCUUUAUCAAUGAUGCGGCAUUACCGGUCUCGCUCCUUUCACUUCCUCUUCAACAAGAUAUGACCCUUUUAGUGGCUAUAGUGGCGUACUUAGGUAAUGAAAUUCUCGACCAACCCUAUCUCCUUCAUUCGGAAGAGGAGCCUUAUAAAGAUCGUAUUGAUUCUUAUCAAAGAAAGACAGGAUUAACCGAGGCUGUUCAAACAGGCAUAGGCUAAAUAAACGGUAUUCCCGUAGCAGUUUCCUUUCUCUUUCUCCCUUGUAGCCGUUACCUGAAUUCGCGCAUUCGAUUUUUCUAUCUAAAAAAGAAUCGAUUUCAUUCAACCUUUGAUUCAAAGAACUGUGACGGAAUAAGGCGGCCAGAAGCGACGAGCAGUCGCGGUCGAAGCUUGGCUCUAGCCGAUAGGCUAGCAAGUAUCUGCUGCGCACCUCUAUUCCUCUUCUUCCGCUUAUUCAUCUUCUUUGGACUGACACUGAGAGACGAAAGCUAGGGGAGCGAAUGGGAUUAGAUACCAGAAUGAAAUAUUAUUUAAUCGUGGAAAUGCCAUGUCAGGCGCAGAUAAAAUGGGCGGGCACGGGCGGUCUGGUGUCCGAGCGAGUGAGAGCCUUGAUCCAAGGCCAGGUGCUGUCGCAAUCCAGGGAAGGCAGCGAAAUAAUGUCUGACUACAGAUAGAACAGAGUCAAUAGCGAAUAGGAAUGAAAUAAAAUAAAUCGAAAUAGAAAGAAAAGAAUCAAAUUGCAAAAGCAAAAAGGGGGGAUAUCUUUUUUUUUUUAUCGUCUUUUCAAGUCAGUCUUGUCCCGCCUGCUCGUUAGCAAGUGCCUCGGGCCCUGCCUCUCUUUUCCAACAAUCAAAGCUCGUGGGAAAGCUGCAGCAAAGGGAAAAGACUUUCACCAGUUUCUUGAGUGAGAAGCGGAUGUUGGUGAAAAAAGGAAGUUGAGUUCAUCUCAUUAAAACAUUAAAAGAAAAACUUCCUCUCUGUCGAGGAUUUUCCUCACUAAGCUUUCAGGACAAGGACUAUAAACGAUUGUAACAGAGACAGCCCCGUCUUCUCUUAGCUAUAUGCUAAAUACUAACUCCGCAAUUACCGGAAGGACUCCGUUUCAAAGAUGUGGUUGAGCAUUCCUUUAUUAUGGACGAAGAGCUCAAAGAACAAUUUCUCGGGCUAAACUAAAUCUAUUUGGAUAAAAUUAGUAAUGGCACUGACACUACUUUGUUUACAUUUCUGGAUACGUAUGUAGUUAGGACUUGGUUUCGUCAGCGGCAUUCUCCCUAGAAACAAUUACAUUAUGAACAAUUUGUUCUUUAAAAGCGCUCUCUCUCUUAUAACAAUCUUUCUUGGGCAUUUCUCUGUUAGAGUAAUGCCAAUUCUAAGAACUGGUAAGUGUAUCAUGCUCUUCCUUUUAGUGAUUCUGGGCUUGAUCCUGAUUUGGAGAUCUUUUGGUUUUCAUUCAAAAGGAAAAUAUCGGUUUAUUAAUCCGAUUCUGAUUUUCUUUUUUUUCUAUUUAUUUCUCUUUUUUCUAAAGAACUCUUUGCUAUCCCAUUUAGGGAUUUUGGGUUCUCACCUUCUCUCUGGGAUUUGCGUUUUGAGUGUCGGGGGAUCACUUCCUCUUCCGGGCCCUUCCAACCCCUCCUCCUCGGAAGAUUCAUCCGACCUCCAGGUCCUGUCGGAGCCUUGGCCCGUGACUCACAAUGUAGGCUAUGAAUCUUCGCUCCGAAAUCGGAUUUUUAGACUGGAAAAUUCAAAUAGCCCUUUUCUGCUCUCUAAAGAGAGGGGGGAGUAUUGGGCAGAAGUAAAGAAGGAACUCUACAAUUGUCCCUCUCAACGGGAAUAUAACCGAUUGCUCGAGUUCGAGAAUAGGGAUCUCCAGAUCCGGGAGCUGCGACACUCUUGCUAUUGUCAAUUUCAACGACUUUUUACUGAUCAUCCUGCCUUGGCAGAAAAUGCCGAUUCCAACCCCCAAGAAGCCUUACUGUACUUUUUUAAUGAGAAAGGCCAUGAACUUGACCAAGAGGGCGGAACCCCGUUAGUAAAAGACCGGAGAGAACUCCGCUUUUUGGAUCAACUUUUACAUGAUCUCCGAAAAAAUGGAAUAAACUCCGUCUAUUUCAAUAUUCCAUUUGGGUAAAUAGAUACGAGAUCUCGUCGUCGAAGUGACGUGAGAAAUGUUUGUUAUAUGUGCCUGAAGCUGCUAUAUUUGCUUUUUUUGCUAUACUUAGACGGACGAGUGGAAUGGAUCGGACGGGAGAGGAAUGGAAAGCCAGGAUCGCUUGGUAAGCAAGCAGGCACUAACUCCCAGUUUUUUCUCUUCUUUCUUUUUGAUUAGAGAUUUGAGAUUCCGUAAGUAACUCAGUGAGUGCUUUCUAAGAAGGGCUUGGAAGAAGAAAAUGAAAUAGGAACAACCGCGCUGGUCGUAAUUGAUCGACUUUCAUGCUAGUUCUUGCUCCAGCAUGAAAGUUCCAUUUCAGGGAAGGACGACGUACUAUGAUACUUUCCGUUUUGUCGAGCCCUGCUUUGGUCUCUGGUUUGAUGGUUGUACGUGCAAAAAAUCCGGUACAUUCCGUUUUGUUUCUCAUCCCAGUCUUUCGCAACACUUCAGGUUUACUUCUUUUGUUAGGUCUCGACUUCUUCGCUAUGAUCUUCCCAGUAGUUUAUAUAGGAGCUAUAGCCGUUUCAUUCCUAUUCGUUGUUAUGAUGUUCCAUAUUCAAAUAGCGGAGAUUCACGAAGAAGUAUUGCGCUAUUUACCAGUGAGUGGCAUUAUUGGACUUAUCUUUUGGUGGGAGAUGUUCUUUAUUUUAGAUAAUGAAAGCAUUCCAUUACUACCAACCCAAAGAAAUACGACCUCUCUGAGAUAUACGGUUUAUGCCGGAAAGGUACGAAGUUGGACUAAUUUGGAAACAUUGGGCAAUUUACUUUAUACCUACUAUUUCGUCUGGUUUUUGGUUUCUAGUCUUAUUUUAUUAGUAGCCAUGAUUGGGGCUAUAGUACUGACUAUGCAUAGGACUACUAAGGUGAAAAGACAGGAUGUAUUUCGACGAAAUGCUCUGGAUUCUAGGAGGACUAUAAUGAGGAGGACGACAGACCCGCUCACGACAAUAAGGAGAAGCAGUGGUUCGAAUCCACAUCGUGAGCUUAAGUAAGCCUUUUUGACUACUACACUUUGUUGAUGCAACGAACUCUUUCUAUUCCACGAGCCCUUUCUGCUUCCGAAACGAGAGAAAGACUUGAGAAAACACACUUCUAGUCGCGUGACUUGAAGCCGCACUUCUUUCGCUAGGGGCUUCCCAUUUCGAGUCUAUUCUAAUAGAAGUCGAUGGGACAACCCCAAGUCUAGCAAUUCCCCUGGAUGUUCCUAAAGGGUUGAAGGGCGCUUACCGAUGAGAGACUUGAACCCAAGGCUGCAAAAUGAACAUAACAUUACCAUGGCCCUAGGAUAGCCCUUUUUCCUGAGUCGGCUUGGUUGGAAAUGACCUCGACUAGGCUGACUUGAUAGUUUUGUUUCCUGCUUCACCCACUAGGAGAGAAAGAGGGAUGAGUACUACUAUAGGGCAGGAUUCAUCCUCUAGCAAUAGCUUCUUUAUCAUGGUAUAGGGGUUCUGGCAACCAAGAGUACUCCAACUCUUACGGAAAAGUAUUGGAAGUCGGAUUUGAAGACUGGAAAGCUUCCUUCUACGAUUCCAAACUCUGAAACGGAGUGAAAGAACCGAAUCUCCGAAAGGAGCAUUCAACUUCAUCAGUGCGGCUAAGCUUUGAACAAGAAAAAGUAUACGAUACGCGCGAGAAGAAAGAGAGUGAAUUAGAUAGAGUUACCUACAGAAAGCCAGACGAAGGAUGAGAAGGAAUGGGGUAAAAAGCCACCUGGCUAAGAAAGAUAAAAGCAGAAGAACAAGUGAAAAGGGCAUUCGGGAGAUAAGGUAAACUUUCCUUGCUUGGAAGCAGCUACAACAAAGACUGAUUAUGGACCUUAGAUCACUAAAGGAUAAGGCAGAAUCUAUCAAAUCAAGAGAAGGCUACACUUGCGUGUUUUCGCGCUUGGCGUAUGGUAGUGUUCCUACACCCCUUUCGUAUCCUUGACUCGAUAAAAAUACCCUUCGAACUUAGAUACGUAGUGAAUGAGUUGAAAAACGAAUAGCUUAUAGUUCUUUAGACUAUUAGACUCACUUCAAGUAUUCCGUUCGUUGAGUGAGUAUAACGAGUAAGACAACGCGAUUUUCCCACAAGUAUUUCCUCAUUGCAGAAAGCAGAUAUUUAUGUUUCUUCAAUCUUCAAACCAAAUUCAGAUUUCCUCAUAGGAGGGUGGGCUACUCUUUAUUCAUAUGAAUAAGGAUAUCUUUCCUUGCCAGCGUGAGGGAACAAGCAGAAAAACAAUAUACCGUUGUCGCGAAGUUGAUCUUCAGGUAAGUCACAUGACUCAUCCUCUUAGUCGAGCAUAGCUAACGCUACCAUGACGCUACGCCGCGCCUGCACUUCUAGUUAGAGAACGCACUAAAAGCAUACCUUAUCUCAGGGGUCGAAAGCCCUACAUUCUUUUUCAAUUCGGAUGGGCUUCCCCUUUUGUCUGGCCUUGUUUUGGCUUAAAGCAGAGCAGCGGACAAGGGAGAAAGAGAAAGGAGUAGCGCAAGCCGGCUAAGCUAUUGCCAUUGAUAAAAGAAGUGGAUUCUCAACUCCUACGAUAAGAGAGAGAGGUGGGAUUAGCGAAUCCAAGUCGACGUUUCCAGAUUUGGCAGAAGAAGCAGCGUUCAUUGACAGCCAAGCGGCAACCUACUCUUCUGCUUAUAUAAUACUUCUAUCUGGUUGGUAAGGAGGGAAAGCAGCCUCGCUCAGCGCGAAAUAGCGUAUAUAAUAUAGAAGUUCCACCUCUUUUUGACUCCUAGACCUAGAGUUCUCACCUAGAACAGAAGAAAGUCUCUUUAGGCACACUUCCCUAUACUUCUCCUUCCUUUCCUUUUAGAUCUGAGGUAGUACUAAUUAAUGCUUGAAUUGCUCCUAUUAGAAAGAGUUCCCCUCUUGGGUACGAAAGAAGGAUAUUCCUGGGCACAUCCCUUUGAUAGCUUUGUUUAGCCUCCUUUACUAUGUCAAUCCCUCCGUAUUGGUUAUGGCUUCAGCCGAUCCUCUUCUUGGUACUUCACCUAGUGGCUAAUUGAAAGAAGUGAAAAAAAAUCAUCUCAAUAGGGGCCUUACUGCCGUUCCCAGCUUAAGCGUCUACACCUCUCAACAAAGUGAAUCUUAUGGAACCUCCGAGAGGGACUUCUCUGAGUAAAGAGAUAAGUAAGGGUAAGAGUCAUUCCAAUUGAGUAGGUGAAGAGUCUCUUUCGAGCGAGAUCCUUUACCACGCCUAACUAAAUGAAAGAAAGUAAGAGAGAGAGUUGCCGCCUAUUUCAACAAUGAAAAUAAAGGACUUCCUUAUCCUAAGGCUGUCACUGAAUGAAUCUGGUAACUAAUGCCGCCAGAGAGGCUGAGGUGAGUAUCGUCGCAUCGCCUCCUCCACACUUCUUUUUCUUUUUUCGGCUUGAUAGCUAUGAAGUUGUUAUUUAUGCUUUAUAGCGUUGAAGUCGUUUUUCUAGCUAUGAAGUCUGCUUUUUGGGCAUAUCUUUAAGUUUACAGCAUUUCUAGCCUUUCAUUUCUUUUUAUUUUAGGCUUUAUAGCCUUGAAGUCGUUUUGAUAGCGUAGAAGUCCUUUCAUGCUUGAUAGCUCUAAGGCUUUUAUAGCGUUGAAGUCCUUUUUCUAGCUCUAAGGCUUUUGACGCUAUUCAGUCGUUUCAUGCUUGAUAGCUAUUCAGUCGUUUUGAUAGCUAUUCAGUCUUUUCAUGCAUCAAUGUCUAACAACAAUGCCUAUUUGUUAAUGGCCUCUGGGAUAAUUAUGUGAUGCUAUUAGAUCCCUAUCAAAGGCGAAAUUAAUAUCUCUAUGUGUAUGAAUUAUUCCCUAUAGAUUAACACUAAUUGGUAUAUACUUUUAGUGUAAGGCAGGUGUUUUUCUCGGUGGAUGGAUGGGAUAAAUGCCUAUAUUGCUUUAUAAUGUUAUUGUUAUGUUGAUGUUAUAUUAAAGAAUGAAAUCUAAAAAAGUUGCUUAGUCCAAUUCUUUAGAAUUGUCUUUCUCAUACUGUGUAAACGAAUUUCAAGUCUGAAUUGACGAAGAAGGUUCAGGCAUGCUUCGACUUAGCCCUAUGAUCCGCUAAUUCAUCUCUUUUUCUGGUAUUCCGCAAAGGAGGUGGAUAGGGUCAGCGAAAGAAGUGGCGAGGGCAGGGCGUUUGGUUAAGUUCAAUCGAUCGAAGCCCUUCUUUUAUUCGAUUCUGCUUCUUACGGCCGGAAGCCACUCCUUCUCUGAGGCGGCCGCCCUCUUGGUCACCCCUCCUUACGGAAUUUUACCAAAAGGGUUUAUGUGCUCAUAGAGUCAUUCGGUCUGAAUGCUACAUGAAGAACAUAAGCCAGAUGACGGAACGAGAAGACCCAGGAUGUAGAAGAUCAUAACAUGAGUGAUUCGGCAGAUUUGGAUUCAUAUAUAUAUCCACCCAUGUGGUACUUCUUACCUAUGCCAUGAUGCUCAUGGGCAGCUUAUCUCUAAUUGGAUUUCCUUUUCUAACUGGAUUUUAUUCCAAAGAUGUGAUCUUAGAGCUCGCUUACACUAAGUAUACCAUCAGUGGGAACUUUGCUUUCUGGUUGGGAAGUGUCUCUGUCCUUUUCACUUCUUAUUACUCCUUUCGUUCACUUUUUCUAACAUUUCUAGUACCAACUUUACAUAAAGCAGAGGUUGCUCUUUCCUGUCCACAAAUGGUCAAUGGAGGUUCUUUCUCGUCUCCGGACGGAUGGAACUUUCAACCAAGAGUUUCCAUUGUCACUUUUGAGAGAAGGAAAGAAGAAUGAGUGUUAUUCCUUUGAUCUUAAGUCGGCAACGGAUCGUUGGCCAUUGAGUGUCAUGUUUGCCCUUAUGUCUUGUAUGUUUGGGCCAACAUUGGCGUCUUCAAUUGUCAACAGCUCUUUGGGCCUCAACACCUUUCUAGUCGGGAAACCGAUUGUGAAAAGGAUGAGUGAGGUUGCCUUUCUUUGUGGUCAGCCGUUAGGUUACUACUCCUCAUGGUCACUCUUUGCAUUGUCCCACCACUAUGUAGUGUGGUUGGCAGCAAAACGAGCUUACCCGCAGAGAACCACCCCUUUUAAGGACUAUGCCUUGCUAGGUGAUGAUAUCCUAAUCACUGAUGCACUUGUGGCACAACAGUACAGGAUACUACUGGAUAAACUCGGUGUGACCAUUUCGGAGGCCAAAUCGAUAAUAUCUGAAACUGGUUGCGUCGAGUUUGCCAAGAGAUUCUGGGUCAAGUCAAUGCAAAUUGACCUGUCUCCAGUCUCUCUUCGGCUGUUGUUAUCUUGUAGGACGACUAUUGGUCUCUGUUCUAUCCGUAAUAAAUACCCUGUAAGUGUUUCUACAUUACAGCGGUUGGGUGGAGCGGGAUUUAGAGUCCGUUCGCUUUCUCGACUCAAUCUAAACGUUGGGAAAGAUUAAAGGCUGCCUGUUGCAAGCCAAACCGGUCACAUCCUCUACCUCUUGAAUGGUGGAUUGGAAGGUUUGGAAACCUCAAUCCCGGAAAGAUAGUGGAUUAUCUUCGGAGGGAAUUAAAACCCAAAGAGAUAGAUCUCUUCCCAGAAGAGAUGGUGUUUGAUAAGGAACGUGAUAUUCUUGAGCAUACAGUGAUACUCAAUUGGGUAAAACUGUGGCUUAAGUGGUGUCACUGGUACUAUACGGUUGCAUUGUCUGAGGAGGUAUCCAUCGAUGAGAUGAUGGAUGUUCCUAUGUGUAGCACGACCUGGAAAAGAUCGAACAAAGAUUUUGAUUUAAUCAAGUUUGGUCUGAUCUGGAAGUGUUAUGAUAUGGGAGUCGGUUGGGAUUUAUCGACUACACCAAGGUGGUUGCUAGAUCCUAAUACCGUUAUCCAAUUCGAUAGGUGGAUAUAUGGUGGUAUUUCAGGAGGUGAUUUCAUGAUGGCACCGGUAGACUUACCAUCGCCGGUGAAAGGGCGCAGGUCAUAAGACUGAAAACUGGAAUAAUCCUUCCUAAGAAAAGAGCUUUCGGUAAUAGCAUGAGAAAGAAGAAGGUGACUUCCCAAGUCUGUUGACCAUCCUCCGAAAUAGGUGUGAUAAAGUCUGAAAUCAUUCAUGGGUAUAUGGGUCCGACGAGAAAGACUCUUUGUUGAGCUAGAUUCCCACCCGGCUCUCAUCAAGCUGUCUUCCAAGGUAGGUCUCUUAUAUUCAUACUCACCUCUUCUCUAAGAUGAGGCUACUACUAUUGACCCUGUCUUUAAGCCUUUGAUUUGAAUAAUCAGGUCUUGUUUCUGAUGGACUUCAUUUAUUCUUGCUUCAAAGUAAAGUACGGAACGAGCCUUGUCUACGAAGCAGAGCGACCUCAUCUUGCUUGCUUCUGGCGAAGCUUCUAGCCCCUAUCCUUUAAAGCCAUCAGGGUUUCCGGAUUCUUUUUAUAUAGAAAAUAUUGUUGGGAUUUCAAAAGGCAUCAUUUGGAGUUGCAAAACUCUGGCUAACCUAACUAUGAAUUUCUAUCAAUGUCGGGAUAGACAGAGGUCUAGGAUAGUACGCUGUCGGAGUGAGACCGGGGUACAGUAACGAAGUUAGACCGAAAUGGUCGGAUUGGAAUCUUCACUCCCUUCCUGAAGGAUUUUGACGUCGACAUCCCUAUCCAUAUGUUUAUGCGCAGGAAAGUCGGGAACCGUCGGUUACCUUUUGAAUCAAAGUAGCGACAAGCCGAGGGCACAGUAUGAAAGAUCUUUUAGAUGCACAUAUUCCUCCGGGGGGGCGAUUGGGGGGGGACUCACCCUUUACUUGGGAAUAGAGAGGGGAAACAUAGCAUGUCACAAGAGCGAGGCAAGGAAAGCCAAAAAUCAAAAAAGUCGCUGACGAAAUGGAGCAAAGAAAGCGGCUUCCAAAGAAAAGUCCCAGCAAAAUCGAUAUAAGAUAAGACAGGAUGUCAAAUUUCUCCCAAUUUCGCUUCGUUCGGUUCGGCAGAAGAAAGCCGAGAAAACAACCAAAUAGGAAGAGCACUAUGCAAGCUUAUAAUUAAGCAGAUAUAUAAAAGCUAUCUGCGCUUCCGUUCCCCACCCCUUAUUAGUAUAGUUACGAAAAGUAUAGUUCCCAAUCUGCGGCGAGGGCAAGAGGAGGCUCGUCGGGGGGAUGGGCGUCGUUUUGAUUGACACUCGGAAACGAGUGGGUCUGGGCUACGGGGUCCUUGGCUCUGAUGCCCAUCCAAUGCCCUAUUCCGAGGAUCUCCGUCUGUUUAAAGGAGCAUUUGUCUUUACAUAACAUAGAGGGGAUUUUUCUUUAAUACCUUAAAAACGGUCCGAAGGUGGUGGAAGUGGUCGUUUAACGAAUAGCUAUAGUCCACGAUUAAAGUAUACUACCAGUCGUCUAAGUACGGGUGGAAUAGCUCAUUGUGGAGGGAGCAGAACGUGGCAGGGGUAUUGGUGAGUCCAAAAGGCAUAACCAGAUCAAACGCCCCCGGUCAUUCCGGCAGCUUAAACUGAAAAUAGGAAAAGAUAUGAGAAUCAAAAGAAGUCUAUACCUGCAGAUGAAAGAGGAGCUUCUACGUGAACAUUUCACACAGUGCUUUCUCCUCCAACAGUCAAGUAACUAGCACUGGUUAUUCCAGCAAGAGCUCUUACUCUAACAGAACUAGGACCGUCAACUCCAAUUGUAGCAGCGGGAAUGUCUGAACCACCAGAUAUGGCAUUAAUAGCUUCUAUUGCAUGGGUGGAAAUGGAGAGCAGGCGCGGAAUAUAAUAGCUUGAACCGCUUAGGCUCUUUGCACCUAAAUAAAUAGUAGACACGCAAAAAAAUAAGACGCGAAACUUAUAGAGUCGUAGCCUUCUAAGACUUUCUUCUCCAACUCACUCAAUCAAUAGGUUGAGGCAAUCAACUGGAAAUCGCGGUCGGGUGAAACACAUAAUGCAUAUACGGAAAUGAAGUGUCCCUCGAGACCAAGAGCCGAAGGCGACAGUCAAAAACCAAUAAUUCUAACUCACUAUAACAACAAGAAGCCUGGGCCUCAAGGCCCCAAGUCCCAUAGAAGAUCUUCUUAUUCCCGCCUCUGCCAACUACCGGGUAUAUAUAACUUCUUUUUCUUUUCAACUACUAAUGUGGGAUUUUGUUUGUGUACCCAACACUCAUAUACGGAAAUCUUUUCAAUUCAUCAAAAAAUUUAUAUUUUUUGUGUGUUAAAAAUAUGAAAUUAUUUUUUUUGGUUAGUGUUUCAUAGUAGUUUUCGAUUAGUGUUUGGAUUAGGAUUUUGAUUAAAUCAAAAAUCAAAUCGUUGGGAUCUAAAAAUCGAUAAUCAGUAUAACUACAUUCUCUUUAUUAUAAGUAUGUAUCUUAGUUUCUUUUGUAUUUGUUUUGCAUUAUCUUUUAAAAUAUUUGCUUUGAUAUUUAGUAUUUUUUUAGUUACAAUAACUCGUAUGAUAUAUAUAAUUAAUAUUACAAAAUUGAAGGAGAUUCAUAAAAAUGAAAACUGGAGUUUUAGAUUGAAUUAAUAAACGGAUGAAAUUGUUUUUUUAGAUUAAUAAUCAAAAAUUUUACAAAACUAAUAAUCGGAUGAAAGUUUUAUUUCAUAAACUAAUUAAGAGAUAAACAUGAGUUUUACAAAAUUAAUAAAUGGAUGAAAUUUUUUUUUAGAUUGGAAAUAAUGGUUGAAGAGGUAUAAUAAAUAGUGAGAGGUAUAAUUGAAUUUUGUUGAAAAAAUUAAAGAAAAAUAUUUUUUUUUAACCAUUUAAAAGGAUGAUUUGGCUUAAAAAUAUUCCAUCACGCGCGUGAUGGAGUGUGAAACCCACACAUUUCGCCACAUUAGCAAAAAUGGCCUCGCGACGUACUGAAAAAAUAAGUUCGAGAGGGGGGUACUUAGGACUGGUGAAAGUUCAGGUGUACAAUGAAUAAAACUCAACAAUUUCAGGGGAUAAUGUAUAAUUCUCUCAAAAUAUAAUUACGUGACAAUAAUGUGUUAAUUUGGAUGAUGCAUUUUCUAAAAAUUUCCUAAAAUUUACCCUUAAAAAACUAUCAUUAUACUUUACUUGUCUAUUAAGAAAAAAAUUGUCAAAAACAUGACCCUUUUUUUUUUUUUUUAAAAAAAAGACUUCUUCUAAUUUUUUCUGACUCUAAAACUCUUUUUUCCCUCUAUAAAUGAACCAAAUUUCUUAACUUUUUCCUCUUUAAAACUUUCAGCCAAGAAAAAAAUAGUUUAUAUAUUUGAUGGAGACAAUGAAAACGUUGAGUUAUUUCCGCAACAACAUUUAAUGCGUCCACAACUCUCCCUCCUCCUCCUCCUUGCAGCUCAAUCUCCGACUCCAUCGCCGUCACCGGUGGUUGAUUGGUGGUACAUAUAAUAGCAAACAUAAACUAAAAAUUAUGAUUACAUGCCGCUAAUGUGCUGCAUUGGACAAUACAUUUUUAAAAAAAAAUUCCUAAAAUUUAUCCUUCCAAAAACUAUCAUUAUACUUUACUUGUCUAUUAAGGAAAAAAAUUGUCAAAACCAUGACUUUUUUUUUUUUCAAAAAGAAAAGGACUUCCAAUUUUUUUUGACUCAAAAACUCUUUUUUCUUACUUUUUAAAUAAAUCAAAUCCCUUUAUUUUUUCUUCUCCAAAACUUUCGCGAAAAAAAAAAAGCCUAAAUGUUUGGUGGAGACAUGAAAACGUCAAACUAUUUAUGCAGCAAAUUUAAUGCAUUCACAACUCUCCCUCCCCCUCCUUCCCGCAGCUCAAUCUUUGACUCCAUCGCCGUCGCCAAUGGUUGAUUGAUGGUACUUUUGGUUGAGAAAAAAUUAUCUUAGGAUAUUCUCACACUCAAUGUGGGAUAAAAAAAAUAGUAUAAUUUCGAAAUAAUUUAUUCUGUAAUUUUAUUCCAAUCAAAUAUAAAUUAAACUUAUUCUAAAAUUAAUUGCGUAAUUAAUUAUUACUCUAAUCAAAUGAGCCAGUCUGUUAAGAAGGAGGAUUAAUUUGUUGUAUAGACGGAUAAAUAUGUACAACAUAUACAUAAAAAAGAGGACUGGUUUUACUAAUUUUUCUUAUAGAAUAUAAGAAAGUAAAAUCACUCAAAAAAAAAAAAAAGAUCAUUUAUGUAAUUUAUUUAGUGAUUAGUUAUUGUCUUACAAAAGAACUCAGUCUAUUAAGAAACUAAAUGUCAAAAAUAUGACUUUAUUAAAAAAAGAUGCUUCUAAUUUUGACCCUAAGUAUACUUAUCUUUCUUUUUUUGGGUAACUUUUUCUUCUUUAAAUAAACCAAUAAUGUUUAACCUAAGUAAACCUUUAGCAAAUAAACAAACAAAAACUCAAUAAUAAUGUUUAGUGGAGAUAAUGAAAACAUCGGACCAUUUACACAUCCUCUCCGCCUCCUUCCCGCCCGCUCAAUCUCCGUCGCAGCCGCCGUCGCCGUUGCCGGCAUCGAUGGAUUGGGCGGAGACGACCGUGUUCCGCCGUGGAGUAAUGAAGGAAUUAGGGAUUUGAUAGCUAUUAGAAGUGAACUAGAGACGGAGUUUACGUCGGCAAAGAGAAGCAAUUUGAAGAAUUUAUGGGAGAUUGUUGGUGUUAGGAUGAAUGAGAGAGGAGGAUAUAGAAGAAGUGGUGAACAAUGUAAAACCAUGUGGAACAAUUUGAUCAAUCGUUAUAAGGUACUUAAUUGUUAUUCUCGGUUUGUUUCAAUUUGUUAAGAAAGGCUUUUGAAUACGUAGAAUGUAACAAAAUGUGCUUUACAUUGAAAUUUGAAUUGAAUGAGUUGUUGAAAAAAGAAAAUAGAGUCAUAGGAUAUAGGAGAAGAGGUGGACAAUGUAAAACCAAGUGGAACAAUUUGAUCAAUCGUUAUAAGGUACGAUUUUUAUUAUUAUAGGAGAAGUGAACUUAUUAUUUUCGUUUCGGUUCAAUUUGUUUGUGAAUUUAAGUGAAGUAGCUGGUAAAGUUGCUGUCAUGUCACCACAAGGUGAUAGGUUCAAGCCGCUAGAACAGUCUCUAGCAGCAAUGCAAGGUAAGGCUGUGUACAGUAAACCUUCGUGGUCAUGCUCUUCCCUAGACCCCACGCGCCGGGCUGCCCUUUGCUUUACGGAGUUUAAUGAAGUAAGGAAAAGCUUUUGAAUCUGGUAUCUAAAAUGUAACAAAAUGUCGUUAAUCUUGUGGUCUUAAAUAUGUUAUUGUUUGUCCGGUUUUGACUUGACACAAAAGUUUAAGCAAGUAAAGAAAGACUUUUGAAUCUCGUGGGGGUACGCACAAUGCAAUAAAAUGUCUCUUAAUAUUGUGGUCUUAAGUAUGUUAUGUUUUUCUGGUUUUGACUUGACACAUAGUUUAAGAAAGUAAAGAAAGGCUUCUGAAUCUCGUGGUGGUAUGUAAAAUGUAACAAAAUGUGCUUUAAACUUGUGUUCUUAAAUAUCUUGAGGAAAUUGAAUUUUGGAUUUAAUGAGUUGUUGAAAAAAAGAAAAGAGUCAUUGAUAUUGCAUGACAGAGAAGGAUAUAGGAGGAUUUAUGAACAAUGUAAAAGCAAGUUGAACAAUUUUAUCAAUUGUUAUAAGGUACUUGCUUGUUAUUCUUAUUUUGUUUCAGUUUGUUUUCUGAUUUUGACUUGACACGAUGUUUAAGAAAGUAAAGAAAGACUUUUGAAUCUCGUGGUCGUAUGUAGAAUGUAACAAAAUAUGCUUUAAUCUUGUGAUGUUAAAUAUGUUGUGGAAAUUGAAAUUUGAAUUUAAUGAGUUGUUGAAAAAAGAAAAAGUCAUUGAUAUUGAAUGAGAGAGGAGGAUAUAGGAGGAGUGAUGAACAACGGAAAACCGUUUGGAACAAUUUGAUCAAUCGUUAUAAGGUACUUACUUAUUUGUUCUUGUUUCAUUUCAGUUUGUUUGUCUGAUAUUGACUUGACAUGGAGUUUAAGAAAGUAAAGAGAAGCUUUUGAAUCUCAUGGUGGUAUGUCG